CAGAACCGCGCUGUCAAGGGUACAAGUUGCCAAAAUGAUCGUCGAACUUCGUGAGAAGAUGGCAUUUCAAGAAGAAGAAAAGUAAAAAAAUUAUUGGUCAGAAGUUAGGGGCAUACAUUUUAGCAAUUAACCCUGUCGCGGUCUUCUGUCAUGGAGUAAACACGGCAGCUAAUGGCGAGCGACGGCUUGCUCAGCUGCGUGGCAUGCGUUGUUUGAUCAGCGCGAAUUCAAGACUUCCAAGACGAGGUUGUUUGCACACGUACAAUCAAGGCGUUCAACAUCAUCAUUGAAGAAAGGAAGUAAUAGGUACAGAUAACAAAAUAAAAAUCAAUAUCAUCAAAAAGACAAAACAAAAGAAAAAAAAAACAAAAUUAGAAA